CCUGUGUCAGUUUUAGUCCUAUUGACUGAUCACCAUAAGUGCUCCAGGACUUGAGGAGGCUCUCUGUGUCCUUAACUGCACUCUUUAUCCCCAUGUCACCUGAACCUUGACUUACAGAUAUAAUGAAAAAGAUGAAUUUGGGAUGCUUGGAUUCACGAUGCUAGAAAAGAUGAAGAUUGUCAAAAAAGCUGAGAAGAACCAAAAGAAUGAUAGAAACCACAGUUUCCCAUGGUGGCCGAGUAGCUGUGGAACAAUAAUCUCAGCACCUGUGUUAAAGAAUGUCUCCUCUGUACACUGUAGGCCAUGUGGAGGAUGUCGCCCAGAGUGGUCUCACCCAGUGGAAUUGCAAAAGUCAUACCAAAUCCAAGUCUUCUGAGUGCUGAUUCUGUUUAACUGAGUAAGGACAACUCAAUAGGGACUAGGAAUAUGGAGGAGUGUUUUGGGCACCCAUGAAACCAAGAACAUUUUUAAUAUUACCCAAAAAUAACUGUAUUUUUUCUAGAUUCAUUUUUGCUCAUUCUGCAGCUAACAUUGGCAAUAAGGAAUACCAUCAGGGCACUACUCCAAGGGCAAAAGCACAAUGUUCCCACUAGGAGCAACUGGAGGUGGAGAGAUAUUAUGAAUGGGAUCAUAAUGCCCAUAUCUUACAUCAAUGCCUUCAGUCACCUAAGGACAUCGCAUAGCUGUGGAGACUGCAGAGGGUGAUCCAUUGCUGAAGGAACACUGGAGCAAGUGAAUAUCUCCAUGGGAACAGCAGAGCUAAUCAGGAACCCAUUGAUGUGUCUGAAAGGUUUUGAACCAUUUCUGCCUCAGAGUAUCCUGGGUAUGUCUGGUUUAAUCACUAAAGGCAUCAUUAGAUGGCAUCUGCCGUAAAAUGCUCCCCAGAGGAUCAAACAGAACCAACUACAAAAUGCCACAGAGCAGACCCUUGGCCUCAAACAUCUAUGAUUCAAGGUUUUAAUUCUCAAGCAGUUUCUAACAUCGAUGACACAAAGCAACCUGUAAUUGUUCUACAACACGGAUCUGAUGGCACCAAGACUUUCCAGGAUGGCUCCAUCCAUUCAGAUGGCAUGGCUGUUGUGAAUGAAGGCAGACCUGCACUUUCAGCGAUCCUCUCUCCAGUUCAAUUAUGGUGCUUUAGCAGGGCUAAUUAGCAUUCCUCAGUGCUGGAGCUCUUUGAGUGACAGGUAACCAUGGAGAGUCACACUCCUGUAGGUAAUCAGUAAGAAUCUAGCUUUUCUUUCUAAUUACAAAUUAGAAAAGCCUUAAAGAAAAAGCAUUUACUGAUUUAUGCCAUUAGCCCAAGAUUGCCAUGUUAGAAAGGAUAACAGGAGUGUCAGAAGAAAGCUGAUGUUUUUUCAAAAGGAAAAGAGGGAAAUACCAUGAUGGUCAGAUACAGGAAAAAAAUGUUUAUUGUCUGAUAACAGAUACCCAAAAGGAAAGCAUAAAAAAGCAAAAUGUCAUCUGCUCCUGAGGAUUCAUUUAGAUUCUCCCCUUCGAAAUUUAAGAAAUAAUGUAGUAUUUACUAACGGUGUUUUCUUUUUCUGUCAUUUAGAAUGCACUAGAAUCAGAAUGUUGAAAUAGUAAAUGCAGUGAUCAAUGAGUAAUGCAUAUUUGAUAACUGUUGAUUGUGACUGAUGAGAAAUAUAACAAAAUUAAAAAUUGAGAAUAUUGGAAAAUCCACAUGAUGCAAAAAUAUUGAAUCUGAUCUUGGAAUUGAUGUCAGUUGGCAGAGUGCAUCUUUCCAACAAAGUGAAUAUUAUAAGUAGGCCAGAGAUGUGCAUUAAAUAUUGUCACCUUAGCCUGGUAGCAUAGUUUCAGGAAAAAAAUGAACAGCAAUUUUAUAACAUCUUAAGAUCAUAUCAGGAUAAUGUUUCCAUUCGAAAACAGGUAAGUCCAUAACAAGAAUGAUCAAAGUCAAUUUAUAUUUUCCCAAAACUGAAAGGAAACUUCUCAUUUUUUUUUUUUUUUGGUUCUCUUCACCUUAUUAAAAAUUUAAUUUUAACAUGCCUCUCCCUUUCCUGUUUUUACCCAAAAGUAGAAUUAUUAUAAAAACAUUCCCUGGUGUUAUUUCUGGCCAGCAUAAAGCCAGGAAGCUCUUACAGUCUUGUGGGAAUGCCUAAUCCCAUGAAUUUACCAGUCUUAUUUCAACCAUGAGGGUGGGGAAGGAUACAAACCAAGUCACACAGAGUUCUUCAAUUGUUACUUCAGAAUAAUUUCUAUUAUGGGAAGAAUUCAUGAUAACAGAGAAUGAUAAAAAUCAGUUGCAUUAUUUAUGAUCUUACUUUAACUUGGUUCAUGUUCCAAAAAUUAAGAUUUGUCUUCUCAGAUAGAGGUUGAAUGAAAGAACAAAGUUUAAUCACAAGCAAAUGUCCCCAACAAUAUGCAACCAUGGUCAUUAUAAAUUGGGUCACUCAUUUAAUGUGCUAUUUAUUUUAAUGUUCUUUCUUAAUAAGCAUAAUUCUUCAAUUUUCAAGAUUUGCACAAGAAAUUUUCAUAAAAUAUAUUAUCUCAUAUUUCAGAAAUCAAGUAAAUUUAGCUUGCUAAUGGCUUUUAACUUUAAUGCAAAGAUAAAAAGAACAAUUCUGUACCAAAAUCUGAAACUAUUUUUAGUUCUUCAAAAAAAUUUUGCAUCCAGUAGAAUUCUGCAAACAGGGUAAGGACCAUCUCAUUUUAUAGUAUGAACAGUUCUAUUCUAAAGCAUUUCAUUUGGAAGUUCACUAUGUUUCAACCAUAGUGAAGGGAGGUACCAGUUGGUUCCAUCUCACCUUCUUUGAUAUUUACAACUUUUCUUCCCAAUGGUGAAACCAAAUCAGUACAAAUGCUUAAUUGAACAGAAAAUACUGCAUAUUUUAAAACAAACCCAUUAAGAAUCGAUGUUCCAUAAUACUGAAUGGAUUUUGAACAUUGACUUCCUUGGCAAUUUCCAAUUUUUUUUUUAACAAACAGAUUGACUUAUUGAACAUUAAGAACUGUUUUUAUCCAUUUCCAAUCCUGAAUAUUUACAGACAAAUCCUUUUUAACUCUUCUGCCUACAUUUUUUCUGUAGACACUGAAUGAGAAAUUUUGCAAGCAUGAGCUAUUUUAUAAUAGACUAUACUUAAUUAGUGAAUAUGAGGCAGCAGUGGUCUGGUGUUCUGAACAGUUUGUAUAGCUGAUCUCUAAUUGUUUUAUGUCUUCUUCAUAACUUUCACACUAUUAGAGAGAGAAGAAAUCAGCUCAUGACUAUGACUAUCAUCCCUUUUCAGAAAUGUUGAGAUCUCAGAGGGUGGCUGAUAUACCAACAUAGCACAUUUUGUUUUGUUUCCCGGCUACAUGUAGUCUUUCUGAUUUUACACAGUAAUUCCCUAGAAUCACAAAAGUUCAGAAACAUAAAGCUUCCUGUUGAUGUAGUUUAAUCUUCUCAUUUUACAGAUGAAGAUACUGGAGAGAGAGGUUCCUGGCAUCCAGCUAACUAGUGUCAGUGCUAGAACUGGACCUGAAACUCAAAGUUCAGAAUUCCUUUAUCAACAAACUUCCUCUCCUGGGGUAAUUUCAUGCCAUGGGGCCUUCUCAUUAGAUUCCAUGUAGAUUUGUCAGGAGCUGACUCAGAAUUGACUCACAGAGUCAACAAUUAACACAAAAGUCCUGUCUUGCAACAACCUGCCAUAAAACACCCUUGUGUGAGUUCCAAGACCUUGCUUACUGCCAUGUCACUGCCUUGUGAAGAGGGUGAUUGGCCAACCUGAGCUGAGGUGGUAGAUUCUUUACCUUUGUGACUGUGACAGUCUGAUAUUGCCUUUGUAAGUACUCUACAUUUGCCUUUAUUUCAUCCUAAAACAUUAAUCUUUUGAAAGGGCUAAAAGAUAUUAGUCUUUCUGAUCUCAGAUGCUACCAUUUUAUAUAUGUUAGCAAAACUAAAGAGAAAAACAAACAAAAUAGUCAAAUCAAAAAAUUUUAAAAUAUCAGGCAUCUGCUAAAAAAAGUAGACUUUAUUACAAAACCAGUAAAAAAAAAAUACUUUAUUUGAAAAAGAAUGUCUUUGAAAACAUUUUUAACUCUACUAUAUUGAGAAUAAUAUAGAUUUAGAUUUUUUUUCUCUAUUUAAUAGACACAGGCAGAAAACCCAAAACAUAAAAAUAACAAUCAUAUUUUCAUUCUGUGUAGAAAAUACUAUAUUAUUAAGAAUUUUUGCCUACUAAAGUCCUUUUUUUUGUUCAACUUUUAGUAACUUUUAUAAUUUAUUCUGUGCAUUUUUAAGGUUGGAUUUUACUAGAUGCUCUCAUGAGGGCUAUAUGUCAAAUAUUGUCUAUUUUUAAAAUAUGAGUAAAUCUGUAGAGAUUUAUACACAUAUAACAUUUAAAUUACUAUGAACUAAAUCAAUCAUUUUGGUUUCAUUCUGGUUGCCACACUCAAAUACCUUUCACAGAGGAGUACCAUAUGAGCAGAGAAAAUAAAAAGGAAGAAAUAUGGUUUUAAAAUAAUUAUUAUAUGAGAAAAAAAUUGAAAAAAUAACUGUAUUUAUGUUUUUUAAAAAAUGAUAAAUGGAGGACAUAAUAAUGUCCUUUGAAAAUAAAUGUAAUAUAUCAAUGUGUAGGCAAUUCUAGUCUUUAGUCUUAAUUUUCAGAGUUUUCUCCUUUAUCAACAUCCUUUGUCUUACUUCACAAAAGUAGUUACUUUUGA